rnacentral:misc_RNA from 1 species
GAAAUGCGAUAAGUAAUGUGAAUUGCAGAAUUCAGUGAAUCAUCGAAUCUUUGAACGCACAUUGCGCUCGCCAGUAUUCUGGCGAGCAUGCCUGUUCGAGCGUCAUUUCAACCAUCAAGCUCUGCUUGCGUUGGGGAUCCGCGGCUGCCCGCGGUCCCUCAAAAACAGUGGCGGGCUCGCUAGUCACACCGAGCGUAGUAACUCUACAUCGCUAUGGUCGUGCGGCGGGUUCUUGCCGUAAAACCCCCAAUUUCUAAGGUUGACCUCGGAUCAGGUAGGAACACCCGGUGAACUUAAGC